rnacentral:rRNA from 1 species
GACGAACGCUGGCGGCGUGCUUAAUACAUGCAAGUCGAGCGAGGCCCAUCCAGUGGCAACACUGGGGAAGGCCGAGCGGCGAACGGGUGAGUAACACGUGAGCAACCUGCCCCGAAGUCUGGAAUAACAUCGGGAAACCGGUGCUAAUACCGGAUUGCCCCACCUGACCGCAUGAUCGGGUGAGGAAAGAUCUAUCGCUUCGGGAGGGGCUCGCGGCCUAUCAGCAGUUGGCGGGGUAACGGCCCACCAAGGCGUCGACGGGUAGCUGGUCUGAGAGGACGACCAGCCACACUGGGACUCGAGACACGGCCCAGACUCCUACGGGAGGCAGCAGUAGGGAAUCUUGCGCAAUGGGCGAAAGCCUGACGCAGCAACGCCGCGUGGGGGAUGACGGCCUGGUUCGG